CGUGUUACAAUGGCAGGUACAGAGGGGUGCUACCGGGUGACCGGAUGCCGAUCUCGAAAACCUGUCCCAGUUCGGACUGGAGUCUGCAACCCGACUCCACGAAGUUGGAUUCGCUAGUAAUCGCGCAUCAGCCAUGGCGCGGUGAAUACGUUCCCGGGCCUUGUACACACCGCCCGUCAAGCCAUGGGAGCCGGGGGCGCCUGAAGUCCGGGACCGCGAGGACCGGCCUAAGGCGAAACUGGUGACUGGGGCUAAGUCGUAACAAGGUAGC
rnacentral:rRNA from 1 species